GCCAGAGUGGUGUAAUGGUUUAUGCACUGGACAAGCACUCCAGGAGAUCAGAGUUCAAACCUCUGCUCAGCCA